CUGCUGUCCGACUGCAAGUGUUCCUCCAACUGCACCUAUCUGAAGUAGAGCUGUACCAGUGACCUAGCCUGAUUGCCAUCGACUUGAAAGGCUCUGCGAGACUUCAGUCUGACCAAGAGCCUGUGCUAACACGGUUUCUCCCAGCGCUGGUUGACCCGCCUCAUUUAAGUGCCUCGAUUUGCUACUGGUCGAUGUCAGAAAGCGGUUUGCCGAGUUUAAACCAAUAACAACACUCUUUCCUCUGCCUUGAACAUGCCUCUACCCAGAGCCGUUGGAGCUGCUCAAAGUUGAUUGGUUCUCGACCAAAGGGGGCAGUUCCGCAGAUUUCGGGAAUUCAGAAAUCCUUCCCGAUUAGCAGUUGACCAGACCAGCGACAGCAACGCCGAAGGUGUUACGUCACUGGGAGGGCGUGCCAGGCUACCAGUGACCACAAGUUAAAGAUUUUUGCCCACCGACAUCAAGAAGUAGUCUGAGAUGCACCCAUGAUGGCUGAAUUAAGACGAGGUGGCCAGCAUUUUCAAUGUGCGUGAGCUGUGUGCGGAAUUCAAGGGAUCACUGGAUGGAUGCUCCAUCUGCAAACCUGAUGAAGGCAUUUAGUAUCUAUGACUGAGGAUUCUGGCAUUGAUGUCUGCCACGAAUGUGCUCUCCUCUCAAGGGACUGUGCCUAUAUGAAUGAAGACCCUUAGAGCGUCGUGAAGGAAUACAUGCCAGGGGUUCGUAGUCACACGGUAGAGACCAUAUAUGGCAUCAGAUGGCAUAUUCCCCCCCCCCCCCCCCCCCCCCCGAGG